UACAGAGGGUGCGAGCGUUAAUCGGAAUUACUGGGCGUAAAGCGCACGUAGUCGGCUUGUCAAGUCGGGUGUGAAAUCCCCGGGCUCAACCUGGGAACUGCAUCCGAAACUGACUUGCUAGAGUAUGGGAGAGGGAAGCGGAAUUUCUGGUGUAGCAGUGAAAUGCGUAGAUAUCAGAAGGAACAUCAGUGGCGAAGGCGGCUUCCUGGACCAAUACUGACGAUCAGGUGCGAAAGCGUGGGGAGCAAACAGGAUUAGAAACCCCAGUAGUCC
rnacentral:rRNA from 1 species